rnacentral:rRNA from 1 species
UACAGAGGUCCCAAGCGUUGUUCGGAUUCACUGGGCGUAAAGGGUGCGUAGGUGGUGAGGUAAGUCGGAUGUGAAAUCUCCGGGCUCAACCCGGAAAUGGCAUUGGAAACUACCUUGCUGGAGGAUUUGAGGGGGGAUUGGAAUACUUGGUGUAGCAGUGAAAUGCGUAGAUAUCAAGUGGAACACCAGUGGCGAAGGCGGUUCUCUGGGCAUUACCUGACGCUGAGGAGCGAAAGUGUGGGGAGCGAACAGG